AAAAAAAAAUAGUAGUUCGAGUUUGAAACCGAAGACGAUAUAAUCUUCUAGUGGAGAUCUUAAAAUCGGCGUAUUUAGUUAGAUCGAAAUGGCGACGAUUAGUCAGGUUUUGAAGUUGUGGAUGGUGAUAGUGUUGGUGGUAAUGGCAGUAGAGAUAGCAAGCGGAGAGACAUUGGAACAUUGCGCGAAAGCUUGUUUUGAUAAAUGUCCGUGGGGACCACCAGUCUUUUUUGAAGCUUGCAUAAAGCUUUGUCUGAAGAAUUGCCCGGGAGCAUUCUCUCAAUCUCCCAAGAUGGGUGAAUACCGUAGAGAUGGAUCAAUGAUUGGAGAAGAAUAUUUUUUGUGAUAUGUGGAUGUAACAGAGCAAUAAGCAUAAAAUUUUCAUAAAUGCAAUCGAAUAAUAUUUUAGUUAUCCAAUAAAGUAAAAUUUUCAUUUAA